UGCCACUGGAAGCAUAUUGAUAUAAUAACAUGCUAAAAGAAGACAUAUAUUACAUUAAAAAAAAAGAAAAACUGAAAUUGAAGCGGCAGUUUGGCCAUUUUAUAAAAAAUUUGGGCUUGAAGAGAGGAGAUAUAUAAAAGAAUUAAUUUUAAAAGGCAAAAUCAAAGCAAAGACAACGACCGGGACUUCAUUUUAUACAAAAGAAAAUGCAACAAUAUAUAUAUUAUAUUUAUUCCUGCUAUUCCUGCAAGGACCACGGGACGACAGAGCUUUAUUUCGCCAACAUUGUUAAAAUACAUACAUAUAUGUAGAUUAAGAAUAAAAUAAGAUUAUA